GUGCUGGCUUUCGCAGCACACAUACUAAAAUUGGAAAGAUACAGAGAAGAUUAGCAUGGCCCCUGUGCAAGGAUGACACGCCAAUGUGUGAGGUGUUCCAUACUUCU